rnacentral:lncRNA from 1 species
CAGAGCACACUUUUCAAUGUUUAAAACGGACUAAGCUUCCCUGUAAAAGCAGCAUCUAUGUGACUUUUUAAACUUCUUCUUCAACCUCUCCUUCAACACAAUCCAUACCAACCACCUCAUAAUCCUUCUCAAGGGCAGCCAUGUCCUCACAGGCCUUAGGAAACUCUCCUUCCUUCAUACCCUCAUCCACAUACCAGUGAACAAAGGCACACUUGUCAUACAUCAGGUCAUACGUGUGGUUCAGGCAGACCCAGGCCUCAGCAAUGCUGCUCAGCAUGCACACAUCCUGCUGUACUUUGGCCAGGUCUCUACCAGGUACCACAGUGGGAAACUGGUAAUUAAUGCCAACAUUGGGGCCAAUGGGGCAUCAGUCCACAAACUGGGUGGUACACUUGGUCUUGAUGGUGGCAAUGGCAGCAUUAGCAUCUUUGGGGAACCAUGUUGCCAUGGUACAACAGGCAAUAAGCCAUGUGUUUACCAUGGCGAAGGUCACAUUUCACCAUCUGGUUGGCUGGCUCAAAGGAUUCAUUGGUGAUCUCUGCUAUAGAAAGCUGUUUGUGGUGGGCUUUUUCAGCAGAGAUGACAGGAGCAUAUGUGGCCAGAGAGAAGUAGAUG